UACGUAGGGUGCGAGCGUUAAUCGGAAUUACUGGGCGUAAAGCGUGCGCAGGCGGUUUUGUAAGCCAGAUGUGAAAGCCCCGGGCUCAACCUGGGAAUGGCAUUUGGGACUGCAAGGCUGGAGUUUGGCAGAGGAGACUGGAAUUCCUGGUGUAGCAGUGAAAUGCGUAGAUAUCAGGAGGAAUACCGAUGGCGAAGGCAGGUCUCUGGGCUAUAACUGACGCUGAGAAGCGAAAGCAUGGGGAGCGAACAGG
rnacentral:rRNA from 1 species